rnacentral:rRNA from 1 species
AUUGAACGCUGGCGGCAUGCUUUACACAUGCAAGUCGAACGGCAGCGCGGGCUUCGGCCUGGCGGCGAGUGGCGAACGGGUGAGUAAUGCAUCGGAACGUGCCCAGUAGUGGGGGAUAGCCUGGCGAAAGCCGGAUUAAUACCGCAUACGACCUGAGGGUGAAAGCGGGGGACCGAAAGGCCUCGCGCUAUUGGAGCGGCCGAUGUCGGAUUAGCUAGUUGGUGGGGUAAAGGCUUACCAAGGCGACGAUCCGUAGCUGGUCUGAGAGGACGACCAGCCACACUGGGACUGAGACACGGCCCAGACUCCUACGGGAGGCAGCAGUGGGGAAUUUUGGACAAUGGGGGCAAGCCUGAUCCAGCAAUGCCGCGUGCGGGAAGAAGGCCUUCGGGUUGUAAGCCGCUGUUGUUCGGGAAGAAAUCCUCUGGGCUAAUACCCCGAGAGGAUGACGGUACCGGAAGAAUAAGCACCGGCUAACUACGUG